ACCCCGUUGAUCCUGCGGGUCGCGUAUGCUUGUCUCAAGGAUUAAGCCAUGCAAAUGCCAGUAUAAGCCCCUUGAAUGGCGAGACUGUGAAUGGCUCAUUAAAACAGUUAUAAUCUGCACAAUGUUUUUAUGAAUUACAUGGAUAACCCUAGUAAUUCUAGAGCUAAUACAUGCCUUUGUCGAUUUUCUUUGAAAGUUGACAUUGCACUUAUUAGAUAACCUACUGGAAAUAUUUUAUUUUGAAUAUUUUCCUUGUGGAAUCAUGAUAAUUUUGUGGAUUGAUAGUAACUUAAUCUAUUGACGCAUUGUUUGAAUUUCUGCCCUAUCAACUUUUGACGGUAGGAUUGAGGCCUACCGUGGUGUUGACGGGUAACGGGGAAUUAGGGUUCGAUUCCGGAGAGGGAGCCUGAGAGAUGGCUACCACAUCCAAGGAUGGCAGCAGGCGCGCAAAUUACCCAAUCCUGACACAGGGAGGUAGCGACAAGAAAUACCGAUAGAUAGCGCGAUUGUGUUAUCUUAUUGGCAUGACUUUGAUUUAAAAGUUGAAAGGAGUAACGAUUGGAGGGCAAGUCUGGUGCCAGCAGCCGCGGUAAUUCCAGCUCCAAUAGCGUACACGAACGUUGUUGCAGUUAAAACGCCCGUAGUCUGAGUUGUGGAAGAUUUGUUUUGUAUGUUUUUCUUUUUAGAAGAACAUAUAGAGCCGAUCACCAUUUUGUAUUUUAUGUUAUUGUGAUCUUUAUUGAUUGCGAUGACAUUUGAUACGACUUUACUGUGAAAAAAUUAGAGUGUUUCAAGCGUUUUUUUUGAAAGGAUAGCUUAGCAUGGUAUAAUUGUAUAUGAGAAUGAGUAUGUUGUAGGACGUACUUUUUUCUUUUGACUAAAAAAAAUUCAACAGGGGUAGUUGGGGCCAUUUGUAUUCCAUAGUCAGAGGUGAAAUUCUUGGAUUUUUGGAAGACGAACGGAUGCGAAAGCGUUUGGCAAGGAUAUUCCCAUUGAUCAAGGACGAAAGUUAGGGGAUCGAAGACGAUUAGAUACCGUCGUAGUCUUAACCAUAAACGUUGCCAUCUAAGAGAUGGUGUACUGAAAUAUGAAUCGUACAUCCUUUUUUUCCGGGAAACCAAAGAUUUUGGGUUCUGGGGGGAGUAUGGUCGCAAGUCUGAAACUUAAAGGAAUUGACGGAAGGGCACCACCAGGAGUGGAGCCUGCGGCUUAAUUUGACUCAACACGGGGCAACUUACCAGGUCCGGACAUUUUUAUGAUUGACAGAUUGAUAGCUCUUUCUUGAUUGAAUGGGUGGUGGUGCAUGGCCGUUCUUAGUUGGUGGAGUGAUUUGUCUGGUUAAUUCCGUUAACGAACGAGACCUUUUCCUGCUAACUAGAUUCAAUGCAAGAAUGAUAUUUUUGUGAUGAACUUCUUAGAGGUACUAUUCGUUUUUCACGGAUGGAAGCUAUAGGCAAUAACAGGUCUGUGAUGCCCUUUGAUGUCCUGGGCUGCACGCGGGCUACACUGAUGCGAUCAAUGAGUUUAUGAAACCUUUUCUGUAAAGAAGAUAUUAUGGGUAAUCUUUGAAGUUGCAUCGUGCUUGGGAUUGAAAACUGUAACUGUUUUCAUGAACGAGGAAUUCCUUGUAAACGCGAGUCAUCAACUUGCGUUGAAUACGUCCCUGCCCUUUGUACACACCGCCCGUCGCUCCUACCGAUUGAACGAUCCGGUGAAGCGUACGGAUUGGAUGUUUUUUUUUCAUUGAAAGGAUGACAUCAAGAAGUACGUUGAACCUUAUUGUUUAGAGGAAGGAGAAGUCGUAACAAGGUUUCCGUAGGUGAACCUGCGGAAGGAUCAUUC
rnacentral:rRNA from 1 species